rnacentral:rRNA from 1 species
AUUGACCUCAAAUCAGGUAGGACUACCCGCUGAACUUAAGCAUAUCAAUAAGCGGAGGAAAAGAAACUAACAAGGAUUCCCCUAGUAACUGCGAGUGAAGCGGGAAAAGCUCAAAUUUAAAAUCUGGUAGUCUUUGGCUGCCCGAGUUGUAAUCUAGAGAAGCAUUAUCCGCGCUGGACCGUGUACAAGUGUCCUGGAAUGGACUAUCAUAGAGGGUGAGAAUCCCGUCUUUGACACGGACUCCCAGGGCUUUGUGAUGUGCUCUCAAAGAGUCGAGUUGUUUGGGAAUGCAGCUCUAAAUGGGUGGUAAAUUCCNUCUAAAGCUAAAUAUUGGCGAGAGACCGAUAGCGAACAAGUNCCGUGAGGGAAAGAUGAAAAGAACUUUGGAAAGAGAGUUAAACAGUACGUGAAAUUGCUGAAAGGGAAACGCUUGAAGUCAGUCGCGUCGGCUGGGGAUCAACCUUGCUUUUUGCUUGGCUUAYUUCCCAGUUGACGGGUCAGCAUCAGUUUUGACCAGUGGAUAAAGG